UUUACCAAGCAAAGUGCAAGGGUGGAGCUGUGUUUCCUGUUCAAGAACUGGCUGAGUCGUGUCACCUACGUGCCAUCUGAAAGACUGUUUCAUUGCAGCAGGAGUCCUGUGAAGCAGGCAAGACCCAGCCUGACCAAACAGGGAAAGUAUGAAGUCAUCUUUCUCAUUGCUCUCCUCUUUAAGUCCAAGAGCAAAGUACUUCUAAAAGGCAGGCUUUGUGGUUCGCAUGGAAUGUAAAUAGCUCAAAUGGCCCCACUUCCAAGAAGCCUUCUUUAACCCUAAGGCUGAAUGAAGGCCACUGUCAUAAGGAAGCCUGGAAGAGUGAAGAAAGGUCUGAUUGAUCACAAGGUCCUAUCAAAUGUCAAAGCUGGCCCUGGCUGACCUCCCAUCUAUUCAGAGCUGCUUUGAUUUAAUCUCCAAACUGGCUGCUUCUCCAGGCUGUAUUUGUUAUUUGAACUCUGUACUAAAAUGAUAUCCAGGGAAGAAGAUUGAAAGUUCCAACAAGGCAAAGGUGAUGAAAAUGUUUUCAUGGAAUCUUUGGGUAAGAUGGAUUAGCAAAGAAUAAGAUAUUUUGAGUUCUAAGAUCUGGCCUUGACCCUAACCACCUAU